rnacentral:lncRNA from 1 species
GUUCAUGAUAGAUAUAAUUGUAAGAAGCAAAAUCGUUCAGUAAAGUAAGAACUUCAAACACAUCACCAUCACCAAAAUACAAUUUUGUCAUGAAUCCAUUUGUGUCCUUUGUUUAAUAUGCACAUAGACCAAGGUGAGCGACACAGGCUCUUUAGAGCCUCUAGUUUUAUUUGAGAUCACUGACCUAUGACCUCAAAAUUGAGGUCAAGGUCAAAGGUCAAUUUGACGUUCUAGAUUUUGACAUUUGCUAAAAAUACUUUCUGGUUCAUUAUAAAACAAUUAAGUCUUCUGCAUAAACCUAUUAAUCUUAUUUUUUUAUAUCAGUUUGAUUUACCAUAUUAUAUCAACACGGAGUGACAUUUUCU